ensembl:lncRNA LINC00378 long intergenic non-protein coding RNA 378
AGGAUCUACAGUGACUACAAUAACCAAGUGCUACAAAAACGCUGUGACGAGGAAUCUGAACAACAGAGAUUUGAGGGAAACAAAACACUUUCGACGAAGGUCCUGCUGCUUGUCUUCAGCUUGGUACCAAUUAGAGCUUCACUGGAGGUGAAAAGGGCAGACACGGUUGCUGAGUGGCUGGUUGGAGAGUCCCUGAGAGAUUACCCAAGAAACUCAGUUGCGGCACGUGGUGGAGCAGCCUCUCAGAAAAUGGAGUUCUAAGUAUAGUAACAAUUUAGUUACAUAGUUACUUCCAUUUCCAGAGAUGUGAUCCUUUGCUGUGUA